rnacentral:rRNA from 1 species
UACGGGGGGGUAAGCGUUGGUUCGGAAUUACUGGGCGUAAAGGGUGCGUAGGCGGCGCGGUAAGUCGGGUGUGAAUCUCGGGGCUUAACUCCGAAACUGCAUUCGAUACUGCCGUGCUUGAGGACUGGAGAGGAGAUUGGAAUUCACGGUGUAGCAGUGAAAUGCGUAGAUAUCGUGAGGAAGACCAGUGGCGAAGGCGGAUCUCUGGACAGUUCCUGACGCUGAGGCGCGAAGGCCAGGGGAGGCAAACGGG